AUUGAACGCUGGCGGCAGGCCUAACACAUGCAAGUCGAGCGGAUGAAGGGAGCUUGCUCCUGGAUUCAGCGGCGGACGGGUGAGUAAUGCCUAGGAAUCUGCCUGGUAGUGGGGGAUAACGUCCGGAAACGGGCGCUAAUACCGCAUACGUCCUGAGGGAGAAAGUGGGGGAUCUUCGGACCUCACGCUAUCAGAUGAGCCUAGGUCGGAUUAGCUAGUUGGUGGGGUAAAGGCCUACCAAGGCGACGAUCCGUAACUGGUCUGAGAGGAUGAUCAGACACACUGGAACUGAGACACGGUCCAGACUCCUACGGGAGGCAGCAGUGGGGAAUAUUGGGCAAUGGGCGAAAGCCUGAUCCAGCCAUGCCGCGUGUGUGAAGAAGGUCUUCGGAUUGUAAAGCACUUUAAGUUGGGAGGAAGGGCAGUAAGUUAAUACCUUGCUGUUUUGACGUUACCAACAGAAUAAGCACCGGCUAACUUCGUG
rnacentral:rRNA from 1 species